AUCUACACCAACGAGGAGGCCUAUUGGUGCUUGCGUAGCUCCCAGAAAUGGGUCUUGAAGGGUGACGCGAACGCUGCCUACUUUCAGGCCAUUGCGAAUGGCCGCCGUAGACGCAACACCAUCCCACUCCUCUGGGGUGGCGAGACCCUCCUGCAAUCCCCGGUUGACAUUAGGGCACACGUCGACUUCUACAGGUCCUUGUUCUCCUCCGCUCCUAGGAGCGGACUAUCUGUGGCCCUCGAUUGCUGGACCGACAACCAGCUAGUUUCCUCCAUGGAGAACGAGGCCCUUACUGCCCCUUCUCUAAGGGCGAGGUCUGGGCAGCCAUUAGAGGCAUGA
rnacentral:rRNA from 1 species